rnacentral:rRNA from 1 species
UAGGGAAUAUUCCGCAAUGGACGAAAGUCGGACGGAGCAACGCCGCGUGAGUGAAGAAGGUUUUCGGUUCGUAAAACCCUGUUGUUAGGGAAGAAAAAAUGUAUAGUAACUAUAUACAAAAGAGACGGUACCUAACCAGAAAGCCACGGCUAACUACGUGCCAGCAGCCGCGGUAAUACGUAGGUGGCAAGCGUUGUCCGGAAUUAUUGGGCGUAAAGCGCGCGCAGGUGGUUUAGAAAGUCUGAGGUGAAAGCCCACGGCUCAACCGUGGAGGGUCAUUGGAAACUAAUAAACUUGAGUGCAGGAGGGAAAAGUGGAAUUCCUAGGGUAGCGGUGAAAUGCGUAGAGAUUAGGAGGAACACCGGUGGCGAAAGCGGCUUUUUGGCCUGCAACUGACACUGAGGCGCGAAAGCGUGGGGAGCAAACAGG